rnacentral:rRNA from 1 species
AACUACGGCCAUACCACCCUGACUGGGCCCGAUCCACUGAUCUGGGAAGCUAAGCAGGUUUGAGCCUUGUUAGUACUUGGAUGGGAGAGAACUACGACUGGUGUGGUCA